AUGAACGCUGGCGGCGUGCCUAAUACCUGCAAGUCGAGCGAACAGACGAGGAGCUUGCUCCUCUGACGUUAGCGGCGGACGGGUGAGUAACACGUGGAUAACCUACCUAUAAGACUGGGAUAACUUCGGGAAACCGGAGCUAAUACCGGAUAAUAUAUUGAACCGCAUGGUUCAAUAGUGAAAGACGGUUUUGCUGUCACUUAUAGAUGGAUCCGCGCCGCAUUAGCUAGUUGGUAAGGUAACGGCUUACCAAGGCAACGAUGCGUAGCCGACCUGAGAGGGUGAUCGGCCGCACUGGAACUGAGACACGGUCCAGACUCCUACGGGAGGCAGCAGUAGGGAAUCUUCCGCAAUGGGCGAGAGCCUGACGGAGCAACGCCGCGUGAGUGAUGAAGGUCUUCGGAUCGUAAAACUCUGUUAUUAGGGAAGAACAAAUGUGUAAGUAACUAUGCACGUCUUGACGGUACCUAAUCAGAAAGCCACGGCUAACUACGUG
rnacentral:rRNA from 1 species